rnacentral:rRNA from 1 species
CCUACGGGGGGCAGCAGUGGGGAAUUUUGGACAAUGGGCGAAAGCCUGAUCCAGCAAUGCCGCGUGCAGGAUGAAGGCCUUCGGGUUGUAAACUGCUUUUGUACGGAACGAAAAAGUCUCCUCUAAUACAGGAGGCCCAUGACGGUACCGUAAGAAUAAGCACCGGCUAACUACGUGCCAGCAGCCGCGGUAAUACGUAGGGUGCGAGCGUUAAUCGGAAUUACUGGGCGUAAAGCGUGCGCAGGCGGUUUUGUAAGACAGAGGUGAAAUCCCCGGGCUCAACCUGGGAACUGCCUUUGUGACUGCAAGGCUAGAGUACGGCAGAGGGGGAUGGAAUUCCGCGUGUAGCAGUGAAAUGCGUAGAUAUGCGGAGGAACACCGAUGGCGAAGGCAAUCCCCUGGGCCUGUACUGACGCUCAUGCACGAAAGCGUGGGGAGCAAACAGGAUUAGAUACCCCGGUAGUC